GACAAAUUUUUCAAAAGAUUGCCAUUAUCUUGUGACUGUACAUGGAUAUAACAGUCUGCUACUUGCACACUCGGUUUCAACUGAAAUCCGUGUGAUAGAGCGUAUGUCAACCCUUUUCUUCGUUGCUCUUCCGUUGUAUGAUUAUGUUUAUGUUGGCGAUAAAACAACUUUUGUGGCAUUUGUUUCUUCACUGGGCCAAGAUACAAGUUUUUUAUGGGAAUUUGACAAUGAAACCAGAUACUUUAAUAAUUCCCAUGAAAAAAUCAAAUAUUCUAUACUAACCUCACUCAUUAAGUCUGAUAUCACUGAUACAUCUUUUAAAAAUGAAUCUGAGUUUUUUCUCUUCUCACAAACCCAUGUUUUUCAUGACAGUGGCUCAUACCUCAUAAAUAU